rnacentral:snRNA from 1 species
ACAAGAUUAACAUGGCUCCUGUGUUAGGAUAACACAUAAAUUUAUGAAGUGUUCCACAUUUUU